GGGCCUGUGGUCUAGUUGGUUAUGACAUCGCCUUUACACGGCGGGGAUCAGGGGUUCGAAUCCCUUCGGGCCCA
rfam:Tncultured methanogenic archaeon RC-I complete genome